CGACCACGUGUGUGUGUGUGUGUGUCUGUGUGUGAGUGAAUCAUUGCCAACUACCACCACCAUCACCACCACCACCACCACCACCAACCACCAUCUGCAUCACCAUUCAGUCUUCUCUGUCAAAUAGACACUACUACCACCACUACUACUACUACUACUACUACUACUACUACUACUACUACUACUACUACUGCUGCUGCUGCUGCUGCUACGCUGAUCACCAAGCAGUCACGUGACACUCGUUUAGCCAAUCACCAAGCAGGAUAAAGUUUUUUGAGAAGUGAAGGAAGAAAGAGGAAGAAGAGGAAGAGGAGGAGGAAGAGGAGGA